CUGUAUUUAAAAUCGAUUCUAUAGCCAUUUCAUUUUAAAACGUUUUUAAUUAAAAUAUUGAAGUCUCAAAACUUUAUAUAGCAAUAUCAAACUGCAGAAGUAAGUCAAUGUAUCAACAGGAUGGACAAGAAAAAAGUCUUGUGUAUGUCCGCCAUGAUUAAUUUGCGAUACGCACGCUCGUGUAAACAUGCGUACUAAAGUACGGCUAAAUGGCGAAACAAGCGAUAAAUAUUCGACUUUUUAGCCUCGAGCAAAUUCCCCACCCCGGGGCUAACCUGCAGAAAGCAAAUGCCCGACCCUGGGAACAAGUACAGUUGAGAAUGCCCGAAAAACGCCCGGGGGGGGGAUGGG